GAUGAACGCUAGCUACAGGCUUAACACAUGCAAGUCGAGGGGCAGCAUUGGAGUAGCAAUACUCAGAUGGCGACCGGCGCACGGGUGAGUAACACGUAUCCAACCUGCCGCUUACUCGGGGAUAGCCUUUCGAAAGAAAGAUUAAUACCCGAUGGUAUAAAGAGUUCGCAUGUUCUCUUUAUUAAAGAAUUUCGGUAAGCGAUGGGGAUGCGUUCCAUUAGAUUGUUGGCGGGGUAACGGCCCACCAAGUCUACGAUGGAUAGGGGUUCUGAGAGGAAGGUCCCCCACAUUGGAACUGAGACACGGUCCAAACUCCUACGGGAGGCAGCAGUGAGGAAUAUUGGUCAAUGGACGAGAGUCUGAACCAGCCAAGUAGCGUGAAGGAUGACUGCCCUAUGGGUUGUAAACUUCUUUUAUAAGGGAAUAAAGUGAGGGACGUGUCCCUUUUUGUAUGUACCUUAUGAAUAAGGAUCGGCUAACUCCGUGCCAGCAGCCGCGGUAACUAGUCUACG
rnacentral:rRNA from 1 species